rfam:Camelus ferus unplaced genomic scaffold scaffold455, whole genome shotgun sequence.
GGAGGGUACAGCUCAGUGGCAGAGCAAGUGCUUUGCACGCACAAGGUCCUGGGUUCAAUCCCCAGUCCCUCCA